CCCGCCUGCCCAGUGACCUAGUUUAACGGCCGCAGUACUCUAACCGCGCGAAGGUAGCAUAAUCACUUGUUCUUUAAAUGAGGACUCGUAUCAACGGCAUCACGAGGGCUCCACUGUCUCCUUUCUCCAAUCAGUGAAACUAACCCCCCCGUGAAGAAGCGGGGAUAACCCUAUAAGACGAGAAGACCCCAUGGAGCUUUAAACCUAGCCACACCCCCAACCCCCAAUACCCUCUUAGUAGCAGGGGACCUGUGAGCUCAGUUUUAGGUUGGGGUGACCGCGGAGCACAAUAAAGCCUCCGUGAUGAACGAGACUACUCUCUUAUCCAAGAACUACACUUCCAAGAAUUAAAACACUAAUGUAAUAUGAUCCAGUAAAUGAUCAACGAACUAAGUUACCCUGGGGAUAACAGCGCAAUCCAUUUCAAGAGCCCAUAUCGACAAAUGGGUUUACGACCUCGAUGUUGGAUCAGGAUGCCCCAGUGGUGCAGCAGCUACUAAAGGUUCGUUUGUUCAACAAUUAAAAUCCU
rnacentral:rRNA from 1 species